AACGAGGGAGCAAGCAUUAUUCAUCGUGUACUGGGGCGUAAAGUGUUCGAAGAUGGUCUGCUGUUUUCUUAAGAAAUGAGUUUUUCUGGUUUAGAUUUAAAUAGAGGGCCCGAAGCGGAGGUCUUCUCGUUAGUUACCAUUAUCACUGGCAGUUAAUCUUAUUAAUAAAAAAAAAAUAAUACUAUAGAGUCUUAUAGAAGAUAGCGUACUCUCAGUUUAGAGUGAAAUUCAUGCAGACUGGUGGGGACCAACGGAGGUAUAGACGGCUAUCUAUGUAAGUACUGACACUAAUGAACUAAAGCAAUGGGGGAGCGAAACAG
rnacentral:rRNA from 1 species